rnacentral:rRNA from 1 species
AGGGCCUAACUGUCUCCUUUUUCUAAUCAGUGAAACUAAUCUCCCCGUGAAGAAGCGGGGAUAUCCAUAUAAGACGAGAAGACCCUAUGGAGCUUUAAACUUUACAGCACCUGCUUUCCUACUACCCCCUUUCAGAAAACUAUCUCUUAUUAGCACUCUGUCUGUUAAGCUUUCGGUUGGGGCGACCCCGGAGAACAAUUAAUCCUCCGAGAUGAAUAAAUUUAUUUAGUAAAAAGUUACAACUUUACACAACAGUAAAACUGACAUUCAUUGACCCAAAAUUUGAUCAACGAACCAAGUUACCCUAGGGAUAACAGCGCUAUCCACUUUGAAAGUUCCUAUCGACAAGUGGGCUUACGACCUCGAUGUUGGAUCAGGGUAUCCCAGUGGUGCAGCCGCUACUAAAGGUUCGUUUGUUCAACGAUUAAAACCC